UACAGAGGGGGCAAGCGUUGUUCGGAAUUACUGGGCGUAAAGGGCGCGUAGGUGGCCUUCUAAGUUGAACGUGAAAUCCCUGGGCUCAACCCAGGAACUGCGUCCAAGACUGGGAGGCUUGAAUCCGGGAGAGGGAUGCGGAAUUCCAGGUGUAGCGGUGAAAUGCGUAGAUAUCUGGAGGAAUACCGGUGGCGAAGGCGGCAUCCUGGACCGACAUUGACGCUGAUGAGCGAAAAGCUAGGGGAGCAAACGGG
rnacentral:rRNA from 1 species